UACGAUCAAUGAAUUUCAGAUUGUCUCAACGAGUCGGUAGAAAAAGCUAUUUGGUGCGUCCAGAUGGAAGUAUUCUAGAAGUUGGCGAUCGCAUACGGUGUGAUGUAAACUUUGGUACAGUCAAGUAUAUUGGGAUAGUCCCUCCAACAAAAGGUGUUUGGCUUGGUAUAGAAUGGGAUGAUCCCACUCGUGGCAAGCAUGAUGGAUCACAUGAAGGAGUACGGUAUUUUCAAACCAGUCAUCCAAAUUCAGGAUCAUUUCUGCGACCAAAGAAAGCAUGUCUGGGUAUUGAUUGUUUUCAAGCCAUUCAAAGUCGGUAUGGUAUACAAAAACAUGGCAGUGCAGGGGUCAACACUGAAACACUUUAUGUGCUGGAUGCUGAUAACAGACAAACUGUUGUGGAGAUGGUUGGAGCUGAAAAAGUAAACUUGAUGCAGAGUCAACUGAAUCGACUGCAAGAAGUGUCCAUACGGGACAUGGAUGUGUACGGCACACAGUCAGAUUGUGAAUUAUCCCAGAACACACCUUCCAUCCAGACUCUAGAUGUGUCGCGGAACUUAAUAGCAUCUUGGCCAAUGGUGGCAAAGAUCUGUCAGCAGUUACCUAAUCUGCAAUCACUUUUUCUUAGUGAAAACAAGCUUCAUGCUCCAACAUAUUCAACAGACGUGUUAAAAGCUUUUAAAGCUGUCAGAAAUUUGUACUUGAACAAAAUGUCAUCAAGCUGGCAUGAGGUAUUGCAGUGCUGCUCCUUAUUUCCUAUUUUGGAGACAUUGUACGUCAGUGCCAAUGCAAUGCAAAUGCUGGAGGAGCCACAGUGCUGUUUGCAGCAGCUUACAACGCUGAGCCUAGAAAAUAACAACAUCAGCAGCUGGGAUGAAGUUAUGAAACUUGGAAAGCUACAGCAACUGGAGACCUUGGUGAUUACAGACAAUCCCAUAGAAAGGAUAUAUUUUCCUGAUGUACCUUACAGAAAGAAGUCUCAACUUUUUCCCAAGCUGAAACAUCUGUACAUAACUUUGAACAAAAUUUCAGAUUGGGCAUCAAUCAAUGAGCUCAACAAGCUUCAGAACCUUGAAGACCUUGGCUUUGGGAGCUUGCCUCAUCUGGGAGCUGCAGAGACAGUUAGAGAGAUUGUCAUAGCAAAGAUUGGCAAUCUCACUCGAUUUAACAGGACUGAUGUUAAUGAACAAGAGAGAAAAGGUGCAGAGAUUGACUACCUGAAAAAAUUUGGACCAGACUGGCUAAAGGCAGGAGGCAACCAGGAUUCAUCAAAAGAUAAUCCAGAUAUAGAAUUCCAAGCACAGCAUCCACGUUUUUGUCAUCUUGUUAGCAGUAUGAUUACCAGUUUGAAGAAUGGGGUGCUCCUGAAAACUCCGAAAUGGUACAGCAGUCACUAUCAUUGAAAGACAACCUUAUCACAAUAAAAAUUUUCAGUCCACAGGACCCUGAGAAGGGAGUAAUGGAAAAGAAAUUACCUUCUACAAUGUCAGUCCAGAAGCUGAAGACUUUGAUUCAACGGAUAUUUCGGCUAGACAAAGACUUUACACUGUCAUACAUUAG
rnacentral:misc_RNA from 1 species